rnacentral:rRNA from 1 species
UACGAAGGUGGCAAGCGUUGUUCGGAUUUACUGGGCGUAAAGGGCGCGUAGGCGGCCACCGCAAGUCGACUGUGAAAUCUCCGGGCUUAACCCGGAAAGGUCAGCCGAUACUGCGGGGCUAGAGUGCAGAAGGGGGCAACUGGAAUUCUCGGUGUAGCGGUGAAAUGCGUAGAUAUCGAGAGGAACACCUGCGGCGAAGGCGGGUUGCUGGGCUGACACUGACGCUGAUGUGCGAAAGCUAGGGGAGCGAACGGG